AAAAGGGUGUAAAUAUUAAAAAAAAUAGAUUCUUGUGUUAUUAUUUUUUUAGAUGUUAGACGUUGCCUCAUGCUGCCAUCAUUCUCCACUUUCUAUCAACAGCCAAGGAUCUAACAAUUCUAGGCACUAUCAGCUGCUGCCUUCCUGAAACCCGAGCCACACUUUCCCUCAGCCCACCACAAGUGGCUUUUCCAGAAUUUUGUCUUAAAUAAUUCUCUCUGGUGACCUUAAUGUGCAGAAGAAGGACCCUAACACCCCUUUCUGGAACCUGCAAUUCUAGGAACAAAUUCAUGUAUUGCUAAGAUGAAAGAUUUAUAUUGUCUACAAGACGAAUGACAACUACUUGGCUUUUUUUUUUUUUUUUUUUAAAUAACAUUCCAUGUGAUUUUAACCAAGGACAACGGAACUGAUUCUGAAAGCUGAUAUAUCCAACUCUUGGAACAAUUAUUCCGUAAAAUGAGGUUUAUGCAUACCCCAUAUUUUGUACUAUGAUCAAGUUGAUAAAGGCUCAGCUCCCACAUAUCAGACAUUUUUCCGUAUUUUGCAAAUGAGGAGGGAGGAAAGGACCUCAGUAGACAAAAGGCAACAUUAUUCCACAAGAAUCACAGUACAUGGCAGAUGAAUGAAGUACUGAAAAAUACAAAAUUAGAGCGGUUCAAUCUAAAUCCAAAGAUCUCGGUACCACUGUAGAUGUGUUUGCUGUGGGAGCAAAGAAGAAUAAAUGUCUCUAUUACUGAAGAGCACUUUC